rnacentral:lncRNA from 1 species
GGUCCUGUACGGCUGAUUCUAAAGCUCAACAUCCAAUCCAACCGGAGUCACCUCGGUGACCUGUACGGUUCAACUCUGCACGUCACUCGGAACUACAUAUAGUAGUCUGUACGAUGACAGGUGUAUAAUUACGCUCUAGUGCUUCUCAUCAAUCAUCGGCGCGCAUAUCUAAGGUCACCCACCAGUUGGAACUCCUCUAAUGGUCUGUACGACUGGCAUGUCGGAACCCUCACAUGGUCUGUACGACAUCCACCUACUUGGAUCCAAGACGAGCGUGCGGUGUGGUGAAUAACAAUAUAAGCACUAUCACCUAGGUGCAGGUUAUGAGCUUUCAAUGAAAUUCAAUAUAAAUAACUCAGCUGAAAAAAUAAAUACCUCACCUGAGCGUCCACCGCGUCAUAUCACAUAUAUAUGCAACAAUUAUCAAGCUAGAUAUCUCAAUAAUUCAUGCAUGGCAAUUAAAUUCAUAACUUUCAUAAAAACGCGUAUUUUCUGGGAAAAUAAAUGUAUAUAGGUAAAUACGAAAUCAAAACUGCCCACUCACUGAUAAGUCGACGGGUCGUAACCCCCGUGGCGUCCCUGGAUGCGCUCGUCCUUGGGAUACGUCUCACCUAUAUGCGAAACAACUAUAAAAACGUUAAUUUAAACACAUCACCAAUUUUUCGAAAUAACUUCUCAUACGAUGCUCAAUUUGGGUAUAUGAAUAUACCACAUCGACCUACUCGACGUCACGAGCGUCGGGAAAUUUUUAGAAAAUUUUUUGGAGGGCUCAUGCGCCCCACGCGCCGCGCGUGGCACGGGCCUACGCGCCCCCCACGCGCCCUUCUUCUUCCUUGGGUCGCCGGACUGGUUUUUCCGGCUGCCGUUUUCCGGCGAAUUUUAAAACUCUUCGUUCUCCUUCGUUUUUCACUCAUUUUCUUCGUAUUUUAUAUCAAAUUGAAGCCCCAAACAUGUAGAAUCACGAUAAACUAGUUUAAGGCUCUAAAAAUCAAGAAAUCUCACCGGACAAUUCCCAAGAAUUUCGGCCAAAAUGGAACCACGUGAUCCCGACGUCCAAAUCCUUCAAACGAAGCACUCCGAGCCUCCUUAGGACCUCACUAAGCUCACUACAAGCUUAGAAUUCCCUGAAACACGACAUUUUACGUGUGCAGGAAUAGUAACUCAAAAAUGGAGGUUCGAGUUCCACAUGAUUUCGAGGAUUUCACUUCCUAAAACUAGCACCAAUGAACUCAGAACGUCGAAAUGAUGAAGAUGCAUACCUUGGUUGCCUCGAUCCGUCGAGUUUUUGGAGGGUUUAGGUGUGCCGUACAUAUUUGGGUGUGAGGGAGUGUGAGAUCUUGAGGGAGAGAGACAGAGAAGACGCGGGGGAAGGAGAGAGAGAGAUCCUGUGUGGUCCAAACUAAUCCACACCAUCUAAAACCUUUCCUAAUUCCCUAACCACACAUAACAAAAUCAACUUUCAAUAUAUUUCUAACUUAAACAAUUUUCCAAAAGCUUAAGGACCAUACACUUUCCAAAACGUAAUACACACAUACCUAAGUAACGUCGAGGGUAAAAUAGUCAUUUCACGCUCCCGAUAUAUAUAAUUCCCGGGACGGGCUGUGACAAUCUCCCCUCCUUAUAGAAUUUCGUCCCCGAAAUUCCCAUAACCAAUAAUGCACUUAAUAACCAUAGAAUAACCUUGGGUACAUCUCUCUCAUCCGAUCUUCCGUCUCCCAGGUAGCUUCCUCAACAGAAUGAUUCCUCCACAACACCUUCACCAAACUCACCGUCUUGUUCCUUAGAACCUUUUCUUUCCAAUCCAAUAUAGUGACUGGUUCCUCAUCAUAAGUCAAAUCCGGAUUAAUCUCUAACGGUUGAGGAGGGAUCACAUGAGAAGGAUCAGAAAUAUAAUGUCGAAGCAUAGUGACGUGAAACACAUUAUGGACCUUAGAUAACUCCGGAGGCAGCUCCAACCGAUAGGCAACUUCACCAAUUCUUUCGGUGAUCACAUAAGGUCCAAUGUAUCUCGGACUUAGUUUUCCUCUUUUACCAAAUCGUACCACACCUCUCUAAGGUGACAAUUUCAAAAACACCCAAUCACCCACAUUAUACACUCGAUCAGUAGUAUGCCGAUCCGCUAAACUCUUCUGUCGAUUCUGGGCUGCUUUCAGGUUUGACUUAAUUACCUGAACAUUUUGAGUUGUCUCAUCCACAAUCUCAGGGCCUUCUAACACCCUUUCACCAACCUCAGACCAACAUAAUGGCGUUCGACACGCCCUACCAUAAAGUGCCUCAAAUGGAGAUAUACCAAUGCUCGAGUGAAAACUGUUAUUAUAAGCAAACUCCAUCAAGUCCAGACGAUCAUGCCAGGAAUCACCAAAUUGUAAUACUGAAGAUCUCAACAUAUCUUCCAACGUCUGAAUGGUCCUCUCUGAUUGCCCAUCAGUUUGAGGAUGAUAAGCUGUGUUAUACAGUAAUUGUGUACCCAGAGCUUCCUGAAAAGCCACCCAGAAUUUAGAAGUAAAUCUCGGGUCUCGAUCAGAAAUAAUAUUUACUGGAACUCCAUGAUACUUUACAAUCUUUGUAAUGAACAACUUAGCCAAUUUAUUCAGAUGGUAUUUCUCCCUCACCGGAAUGAAAUGCGCUGACUUGGUAAGUCGAUCCACAAUCACCCAAAUACCAUCAAAUCCAUUUCGUGUACGAGGAAGUUUUUACACGAAAUCCAUGGUUAUAUUUUCCCAUUUCCACUGGGGAACGGGAAGUGGCUGCAUGCGCCCAAAUGGCUUCUUUCUUUCUGCCUUCACUUGCUGGCAAAUCAUACAUCUACUCACAUAAUCUGCAAUUUCUCUUUUCAUACCCGGCCAAAAAUAAUAUGGUCGAAUGGUAUGAUACAUUUUAGUUCCUCCCGGGUGCAUCGCAUAAGCUGAACAAUGCGCCUCAUCCAAAAUUUCCUUCUUUAAUUCCUCAUUAUUCGGAACAUACAUUCUGUUUUCUUGCAUGAGCAUACCAUCUGAUUCCCGAAUUCUGAGGUCUUUCUUUUUCCCUUCACUUCUUAACUGAACCAACUCCUGAAUCUCAUCAUCCACCAUCUGAGUUGCGAGUAUACGGUCCACCAAAACUGGCCUGACUUGAAAACUAGCAAGAAACGCUCCACUUGGGUUUUCAAACUCCAACCUUACUCUCGUUGCCCUCAGUUCAGCAAGAAGAGGAACACAACUAGCAUAUAAGGCAUUAAGCCUACCUUGGGGUUUCCUACUCAAUGCAUCUGCUACCACAUUAACACGACCUGGAUGAUACUCAAUAGUACAAUCAUAGUCACUUAACAAUUCCAUCCACCUUCGCUGACGAAGAUUAAGAUCAUGCUGAGUAAACAGAUACUGAAGACUCUUGUGAUCAGUGAAGAUUUUACACUUCUCACCAUACAAAUAAUGCCUCCAAAUCUUUAAAGCAAAAACAAUUGCUGCCAAUUCAAGAUCGUGAGUAGGAUAGUUCCUUUCAUGAUUUUUCAACUGCCUAGAAGCAUAGGCAAUCACCUUAUUAUGCUGCAUCAAAACACAUCCCAAACCAUUUAAGGAAGCAUCACUAUAAAUCUCAAAAUUACCGCUGUCAUCAGGAAGUACCAAUACUGGAGCAUGGGUGAGGCAAUACUUCAAUUGCUGAAAACUCCGCUCACAAUUUUCAUCCCACUCGAAUUUAACAUCCUUCCUGGUCAACUUCGUUAACGGCAAAGCAAUCAUAAAGAAAUCCUGAACGAACCGUCGAUAAUAACCUGCUAAACCAAGAAAACUACGUACCUCAGUGACGGUUCGAGGUUGCUCCCAAUUCUCCACCGCUGCUAUCUUUUGAGGAUCAACUUGAAUUCCUCGAGCUGAUACAACAUGCCCAAAAAAUGCCACUUCAGUCAACCAAAACUGACAUUUACUGAACUUGGCAUACAACUGAUGCUCCCUCAAUUUCCUUAACACCAAAUUAAGGUGUCGGAUAUGAUCUGCUUGAGAUUUAGAGUAUACCAGAAUAUCAUCAAUAAAAACAAUAACAAAUUUAUCAAGAUAUUGCUGGAAUACCUCAUUCAUCAAUCUCAUAAAAGCUGCAGGUGCAUUAGUUAAUCCAAAUGGCAUAACCAGAAAUUCAUAAUGUCCGUAACGAGUUCGGAAGGCCGUCUUAGGUACAUCAUCUUCUUUAAUCUUCAAUUGAUAAUACCCGGAUCUCAAAUCAAUCUUAGAAAAUACACACGCACCUUUCAGCUGAUCAAACAAAUCAUCAAUGCGAGGCAAUGGAUAACGGUUUUUAAUCGUUACCCGGUUCAAUUGCCUAUAAUCAAUACACAAUCGCAGAGUUCCAUCUUUCUUCCUCACAAAUAAUACUGGAGCACCCCAAGGUGAAGAACUAGGUUGAAUGAAACCUUUAUCAAGUAAUUCUUUCAACUGGAUUUUUAAUUCUCUCAACUCAGCAGGAGCCAUUCUAUAAGGAGUCAGAGAUAUAGGGUCCGUACCUGGAAGCAAAUCAAUAGCAAAUUCUACCUCUCUAUCUGGCGGCAAUCCUGGCAAAUCAUCAGGGAAUACAUCCGGAUAAUGUCUGACCACACCAACUUCUUCUAUACUAGUAGAAGCAACAUCAUUUAACACCACAUGUGCUAGAUAUCCCUGACAACCCUUCGAUAAUAAUUUCCUUGCCCUCAUGGUAGAAAUAACUUCAUGCCUCACCCCAUUUCUGUCGCCCACAAACGUAACCUCAGGUAGUCCAGGACGAUAAAAAGUAACUGAUUUACCAUAACAAUCAAUAUGAGCACGAUUAUAAUGCAACCAAUCAGCUCCUAGAAUCACAUCAAAAUCCACAAUAUCUAACGGAAUAAGAUCAGCUGACAUAAUCACGCCCUCAACCAUCACUGGACACCCAAGAUACACACUAUCAACAUAACAUUUAUCUCCUCUAGGCAUGGCAAACUCUAAAUCAAAUCCUAGAGGUGAAGGGUGAGGUUGGGUCAUUUGAGCAAACGUAUGAGAAAUCACAGAGUGCGUAGCACCACAAUCAAUCAAAAUCUUAGCAAAAUGAUCAAGAACAUUCAACGUACCCAUUAUCAAGUCUGGAUGGUUCUGGGCCUCUUGCAGUGAAAUAUGAUUAACUCGCCCCUGAGCUUGCUGACGUCCACCUCGGCCUCUACUGCCCUGAUUACCUCGUCCCUGAGGAUUACGCCCCUGGCCUGGCUGACUAGGCUGCCUGGAUAACCCUACACCACCAGUAGCAACUUCCCCCUGACGGGGCUGGCCUCCCUGAUGCCACUGCGAUCCACCAGCUGGCAUAGAGGAAUAAGAAGAAUAACCUCCAAAAUCCUGAAAAUACCCUGGCUGAGGAUAAGGCUCCUGGGGAUACUGAUAGGGUCCGGGAGCAUAUGGAGCAGCAUCCCCCUGGUAGUGGUAGGCACCACCACGACUCGACUGGCCAUAACCACCCGGUCCAAAACUCUGCUGAAUAGGUGCUGGAGGUGGCAUAUUAGUCUGCUGCGGUCUCUGCUGACCCUGGGGACACUGGGAAGCCCGAUGUCCCAUCUGCCCACACGUAAAGCAAGCACCACUACCUCUCCUACACUCACCAUGGUGACGGAAGUUACAACGGCGGCACCACGGAGCACCAGAGCCACCAGCACCACCAGAAUCCCUCUGCCUCUGAAAUCUAGGUCCACCAGAAAAUCUACCACCGCCUCUCCUAGGGCCAGUAACACUGAAUCCUCCACUAGAAGAACUCGAACUUGCUCCACUCUUCUUAAAAUUCUGAAUCUUGCGUGGUCCCGGAAUAGUAAUACCUUUACCUUUAUCAUCAUUUUUCUGACCGUCAUUCUUAUCAUCGUCAUCAUCACUCUCACUGGAAAGUUUAUCAGAGUCCUCCAUCCUGACCAAAAUCUCGAAAAACUCAUGGUAGUCGGCGCAGGGAAGUGCACUGGCAAAAGUACGCCACUUUUUCUUAGCUCCCAACUUGAAACGUCGAAGCAUCUCUCCCUGAUUACCAGCUGUAUCAGGGUCAUAGCGAGAUAAAUCAGUAAACUUUCUGUAGUACUCAUGAGCUGACAUAUUCUUCUGUUUCAACCGAGUAAAUUCCUGUUUCUUGCGGUCAAUAUACUCAGGAGGGACAAAUCUUUUCUGGAAAUUAUCUUUAAACACAGCCCAAUCAGAUGCCAUAGCUGGAGUCAUAAACUGAGUCUGAUUCAUCCACCAACUAGCCGGCUCACGACCCAAAAACCAGGUAGUGGUCUCCACCCACCUAUCAGCUGGAAAAUAUCCCUGACUUUGCAUUACCUGAAAUGUCUUUCAAUGUGAUCUAGCCAUUUCUCAGCCCCUUUGUGGCCUUUAUCACCCAUAAAACGAUCUAACUUCAAAUUGUACAUGGUCUCCAAAGGUGUCCUCUGAGGUGGGGGAGGAGGACGAAUCACAUUCUGGAAAGCCUGAGCCAUUGCUUCCCCUAACUGAGCAACAUCCGGGAAGUUGGAUUCAGAAGUACGGCGGGGCUCCCUACGCUCUCUACGAGGCGGCAUGAUUCUGACAGAAAACAUCAAAAGAUCAUUAAAGCAUUAACAAUUUUACAGAACUGCAACCUAAGCUCUGAUACCAAACUGACACACCCCGAUCCGGAGGAUCCAGGUGUGCUGGCCGUCACGUGGGCGUGACGUAACCAUGGGCGCGACACGGAAGCAAACAACAACAACAACAAAAAUCAGCAGAAAUUCAAACCAAACUCAAACAUAACAACCUACGAACAUAACCGGACGAGUUAUAAAGUAAACACAUAAGUUCAGAGCAUAGGUUAACUGCAGUCAAGUAGGACUAAAAUAAAAAUACAUCACCCUCAGGUGAGUCCUACAUGUAAAUGGUCUGUCAGAAGCCGGAAUAAGACCUCGAGAGCCACCAACCGCUAAACUAGAACCUGGAGGGGCGCAAAACAAAAUGAGUGGGUCAGUAAAAUCAAAUAGUUUCCCAAAACAGUUCAUUAAAAACAAUUCUAUCCCCUCGCCGUAAAAACCUGUAUACUUUCCCAGAAAAUAGUAUAUAUACAUAUAUAUACACGCAUCAUCACUCAGCACAUAUCCAUCAUCAUAAUAUCUCAGAAAUGAUAUGCCAUGCCCAAAAAUAUAAUCAGAAUGCAUCAAUAAUAGUCAAGUGAAUAAUAAAUCAACCGGAGACACUACAAUGGUCCUGUACGGCUGAUUCUAAAGCUCAACAUCCAAUCCAACCGGAGUCACCUCGGUGACCUGUACGGUUCAACUCUGCACGUCACUCAGAACUACAUAUAGUAGUCUGUACGAUGACAGGUGUAUAAUUACGCUCUAGUGCUUCUCAUCAAUCAUCGGCGCGCAUAUCUAAGGUCACCCACCAGUCGGAACCCCUCUAAUGGUCUGUACGACUGGCAUGUCGGAACCCUCACAUGGUCUGUACGACAUCCACCUACUUGGAUCCAAGACGAGCGUGCGGUGUGGUGAAUAA